CUACGGGUUGCAGCAGUGGGGAAUAUUGCACAAUGGGCGCAAGCCUGAUGCAGCCAUGCCGCGUGUAUGAAGAAGGCCUUCGGGUUGUAAAGUACUUUCAGCGGGGAGGAAGGGAGUAAAGUUAAUACCUUUACUCAUCGACGUUACCCGCAGAAGAAGCACCGGCUAACUCCGUGCCAGCAGCCGCGGUAAUACGGAGGGUGCAAGCGUUAAUCGGAAUUACUGGGCGUAAAGCGCACGCAGGCGGUUUGUUAAGUCAGAUGUGAAAUCCCCGGGCUCAACCUGGGAACUGCAUCUGAUACUGGCAAGCUUGAGUCUCGUAGAGGGGGGUAGAAUUCCAGGUGUAGCGGUGAAAUGCGUAGAGAUCUGGAGGAAUACCGGUGGCGAAGGCGGCCCCCUGGACGAAGACUGACGCUCAGGUGCGAAAGCGUGGGGAGCAAACAGGAUUAGAUACCCUAGUACUC
rnacentral:rRNA from 1 species